CCGGCCGUUGUAGGAGACGGAUCGCUGCCGGCCGGCGCCACGCGGCGAAACAUCGCACCGCGACUUGUUUGUAUAGGGAUGUUUGUUCCGAGAUAGUGCGUCCUACAAACCCUUUGACAACGAGGAUCAGUGACUGUGUGCAACUCGUGGUUCGAGCCAACUCAGUGUUAGGACCUAAUGAUUUUUCAUGUGAAAGUGUCUUCUGUGGUCGGUUUGAUGUAAGAGCAGAUUCAAGACAUUCAUAAACUUUGCAAGUAAUAUUAAUGAAGAAGAUACAAUUUUGGAAGUGAUACAUCAAAGGAAAAUUUCUACACGAGGAAAUAACAAACUGCGAAGUUACGUCAUAAGGAAGCGAUCGUUAAAAAGAUCAAUCACCCUGGAUCUACAAAAAGAAAACCACGCGAAAACACUAGUACAAGGUAAA